AUUCGGAGCUGAGGGAGUCUGGGUCCACCUCCCACCCGUGUCUAUCGUACCUUGUUGCUUCGGCGGGCCCGCCGUUUCGACGGCCGCCGGGGAGGCCUUGCGCCCCCGGGCCCGCGCCCGCCGAAGACCCCAACAUGAACGCUGUUCUGAAAGUAUGCAGUCUGAGUUGAUUAUCGUAAUCAGUUAAAACUUUCAACAACGGAUCUCUUGGUUCCGGCAUCGAUGAAGAACGCAGCGAAAUGCGAUAAGUAAUGUGAAUUGCAGAAUUCAGUGAAUCAUCGAGUCUUUGAACGCACAUUGCGCCCCCUGGUAUUCCGGGGGGCAUGCCUGUCCGAGCGUCAUUGCUGCCCUCAAGCACGGCUUGUGUGUUGGGCCCCCGUCCCCCUCUCCCGGGGGACGGGCCCGAAAGGCAGCGGCGGCACCGCGUCCGGUCCUCGAGCGUAUGGGGCUUUGUCACCUGCUCUGUAGGCCCGGCCGGCGCCAGCCGACACCCAACUUUAUUUUUCUAAGGUUGACCUCGGAUCAGGUAGGGAUACCCGCUGAACUUAAGCAUAUC
rnacentral:rRNA from 1 species